UACGUAGGGACCGAGCGUUGUCCGGAAUCAUUGGGCGUAAAGAGCGUGUAGGCGGCUAUUUAAGUCCUGCGUGAAAUCCUGCGGCUCAACCGCAGACGGUCGUGGGAAACUGGAUGGCUAGAGUGCGGGAGAGGAGAGUGGAAUUCCCGGUGUAGCGGUGAAAUGCGCAGAUAUCAGGAGGAACACCAACAGCGAAGGCAGAUCUCUGGGACGUGACUGACGCUGAGACGCGAAAGCGUGGGGAGCAAACAGG
rnacentral:rRNA from 1 species